rnacentral:rRNA from 1 species
CGCCUCUUGCAAAAACAACGAAUAAGAGGUCCCGCCUGCCCUGUGACUAUAAGUUUAACGGCCGCGGUAUUUUGACCGUGCAAAGGUAGCGCAAUCACUUGUCCUUUAAAUGAGGACCUGUAUGAAUGGCACAACGAGGGCCAAGCUGUCUCCUUUUUCAAGUCAAUGAAAUUGAUCUCCCCGUGCAGAAGCGGGGAUAAAAACAUAAGACGAGAAGACCCUAUGGAGCUUUAGAUAUAAAACAGCCCAUGUCAAAAAGCCCUCUAAAAGGACAAAACUAAAUGGCCUCUGCUUGAAUAUCUUUGGUUGGGGCGACCGCGGGGAAACAAAAAACCCCCAUGUGGAAUAAAAACACUUUUUAAAACCAAGAGCCACCACUCAAAUAAACAGAAUCUCUGACCAACCCGAUCCGGACCCUCCGAUCAACGAACCGAGUUACCCUAGGGAUAACAGCGCAAUCUUCUUUUAGAGCCCAUAUCGACAAGAAGGUUUACGACCUCGAUGUUGGAUCAGGACAUCCUAAUGGUGCAGCCGCUAUUAAGGGCUCGUUUGUUCAACGAUUAAAGUCCU